rnacentral:rRNA from 1 species
GUUGACCUCGGAUCAGGUAGGAAUACCCGCUGAACUUAAGCAUAUCAAUAAGCGGAGGAAAAGAAACCAACAGGGAUUGCCCCAGUAACGGCGAGUGAAGCGGCAACAGCUCAAAUUUGAAAUCUGGCCCCUAGGGCCCGAGUUGUAAUUUGCAGAGGAUGCUUUUGGCGCGGCGCCUUCCGAGUUCCCUGGAACGGGACGCCAUAGAGGGUGAGAGCCCCGUCUGGUCGGACGCCAAGCCAGUGUAAAGCUCCUUCGACGAGUCGAGUAGUUUGGGAAUGCUGCUCUAAAUGGGAGGUAUAUGUCUUCUAAAGCUAAAUAUUGGCCAGAGACCGAUAGCGCACAAGUAGAGUGAUCGAAAGAUGAAAAGCACUUUGAAAAGAGGGUUAAACAGUACGUGAAAUUGUUGAAAGGGAAGCGCUUGUGACCAGACUUGGGCCCGGUGAAUCAUCCAGCGUUCUCGCUGGUGCACUUCGCCGGGCUCAGGCCAGCAUCAGUUCGCCGCGGGGGAUAAAAGUUUCGGGAACGUGGCUCCCUCGGGAGUGUUAUAGCCCGUUGCACAAUACCCUGCGGUGGACUGAGGUUCGCGCUCCGCAAGGAUGCUGGCGUAAUGGUCAUCAGCGACCCGUCUUGAAACACGGACCAAGGAGUCGUCUUCGUAUGCGAGUGUUCGGGUGUCAAACCCCUACGCGUAAUGAAAGUGAACGCAGGUGAGAGCUUCGGCGCAUCAUCGACCGAUCCUGAUGUUCUCGGAUGGAUUUGAGUAAGAGCAUACGGGGCCGGACCCGAAAGAAGGUGAACUAUGCCUGUAUAGGGUGAAGCCAGAGGAAACUCUGGUGGAGGCUCGCAGCGGUUCUGACGUGCAAAUCGAUCGUCAAAUAUGGGCAUGGGGGCGAAAGACUAAUCGAACCUUCUAGUAGCUGGUUUCCGCCGAAGUUUCCCUCAGGAUAGCAGUGUUGAA